rnacentral:snRNA from 1 species
GGAUGUGAGGGCGAUCUGGCUGCGACAUCUGUCACCCCAUUGAUUGCCGGGGUUGAUUCGGCUGAUGUGGCUGGCUAGGCGGUGUCCCCUUCCUCCCUUACCGCUCCAUGUGCGUCCCUCCUGAAGCUGUGCGCUCCGUCGAGGAGGACGACCUUCCCCGAUAGAGGAGGACCGUUCUUCGGUCAAGGAUAUACGAGUAGCUAUGCUCCCCUGCUAGAACUUCCAAACAAGCUCUCAAGGUCCUGCUGGAGGGGAGCCCGGAAUUGGCCUCCUCUGGGGGCGGAUGUUGAGCCUUUCAUA